rnacentral:rRNA from 1 species
UGGGGAAUAUUGCGCAAUGGGGGAAACCCUGACGCAGCGACGCCGCGUGUGGGAUGAAGGUCUUCGGAUUGUAAACCACUGUCGCGAGGGACGAAGCUCUGACGGUACCUCGAAAGGAAGCACCGGCUAACUCUGUGCCAGCAGCCGCGGUAAUACAGAGGGUGCGAGCGUUGUCCGGAAUCACUGGGCGUAAAGGGCGCGUAGGCGGCCCGGUAAGUAGGGGGUGAAAUCUCAUGGCUCAACUGUGAGGCCGCCUUCUAGACUGCCAGGCUUGAGCACAGUAGAGGCGAGUGGAAUUCCCGGUGUAGCAGUGAAAUGCGUAGAUAUGCGGGGGAACACCGAUGGCGAAGGCAAUCCCCUGGGCCUGCACUGACGCUCAUGCACGAAAGCGUGAGGAGCAAACAGGAUUAGAUACCCCGGUAGUCCCUGAGCGGGCUGGCAAGGCGCAU